AAAUGUGCGUGGAUAGAAAUACACCUUACUUAGAGCCAGUCUGGAGGAAGGAGGUAUCGGACCCCGGCAGGAGGCUAAGAAGAGGUUCACCAGUUUCGGCUUAAAGCAGCGUGCGUUUCCAGGGCGACUGCUGCGGGAGAGGCAGUGUCCUGGUCCCACGAGAUUUGGUGGCAGUAGUGGGACCCAAAGCAAAUCUCUUUAUUUGGGAACAAGUAACACAGGUGAAAGAAGUGGUCCCAGAUCCCAAUUCAGAGAAUCCUGUUGGUCACAGUCUAAAACCUGGUGACUGGAUACACUGGAUGUCAUUAGGGAAAGACAGUCCUCCAGUCACAUUAAAAAGGACCUUACCAAAUGCUGCUCCUAACCACUGACACUGUUGCCAAACUACAAGGUAUGGGGCCUUGGGUGCACAUCUCAUAGCCCAAGAAGGCUGCACUUGAGCCCUGGUCCCGUGCAGAUGGAGACCGCUGAAACAAACGGCUGAGAAAAGGAAGAAGCUGACAUCAAGGUUCCUACUUCCCAGGGAAGGGACAUAUGCAGAUGAGGCUAUGAUCAGGAACUUCUUAAUUGUUCAAGUUACUGCAGAAUCUGCUGCUGAGUCAACAGCUGCCCAACAAAGAUCCUUAGACUCUCUGGUCAAAGUUGUUCUUGAUAAUAGGAUAGCUCUGAUAUGGCUCCCCAACUACAUUCUAAUUAACAUAAUAAUCUCCCUGGACACUUGUAUCUUCUCAAAAGCUUUAAAUGCACGUAUGCAGCCAGUAACUAUCAAGCAGAUGAUCUCUCUGUGACUGGAACUUCACCAAACUGAAGAGAAUGAGACAUAGGAUCGUGAACUAUAGUUAGAAUAUCACAGAAAUUAAGCAAAAUGUGACCCAAUGACACUGCACGGAAGGAAUGACAAAAGCUGCGAAAGUAUAGAGCAGUAGCUGAGAGCAGCACUAACACCUUAAAUUUUUAUCACAUUUCACAGGUAAGCUGAAAGUAAUCAAAAAGGGGGGAAAUUGUUAAACAACACAAGCCCAACAUGGGGCCACUUCUCCUAGGUCAUCUCACCAAACUGGGGCUUAGUGCCCAAUCUGAUUGCAGCUUUAGUGUCUCCCAGGAGUGGAAACUUAAACCAAUCAGUCUAGACUUACCUAAUCACUAGUGAAGUAAUCUGCAUAAGACCCCGUUGCUCUUUCUCCUAGGGGAGGGUGACCAUUCCUGAAACAAUCCCAUAUCUCUUCUUUUGCUAGUAACUUUUUUGGCCCUACCCACCUGUCUGUAAACACUUUCCACUUUGUACAACUACUGGGAUUGUACCUCAAUUUGAUAGAUAGGAUGCUGCUUUAUUCAUGAAUGGCUUAAUAAAGCCAAUUACAUCUUCAAAUUUA